ACGAUGGAAGUAGAGGAAAGUGGCGGACGGGUGAGUAACGCGUGAGGAACCUGCCUUGAAGAGGGGGACAACAGUUGGAAACGACUGCUAAUACCGCAUGAAGCAUAGGGGUCGCAUGAUUCUUAUGCCAAAGAUUUAUCGCUUCAAGAUGGCCUCGCGUCUGAUUAGCUAGUUGGCGGGGUAACGGCCCACCAAGGCGACGAUCAGUAGCCGGACUGAGAGGUUGAACGGCCACAUUGGGACUGAGAUACGGCCCAGACUCCUACGGGAGGCAGCAGUGGGGAAUAUUGGGCAAUGGGCGCAAGCCUGACCCAGCAACGCCGCGUGAAGGAAGAAGGCUUUCGGGUUGUAAACUUCUUUUAAGAGGGAAGAGCAGAAGACGGUACCUCUAGAAUAAGCCACGGCUAACUACGUGCCAGCAGCCGCGGUAAUACGUAGGUGGCAAGCGUUGUCCGGAUUUACUGGGUGUAAAGGGCGUGCAGCCGGGUCUGCAAGUCAGAUGUGAAAUCCAUGGGCUCAACCCAUGAACUGCAUUUGAAACUGUAGAUCUUGAGUGUCGGAGGGGCGAUCGGAAUUCCUAGUGUAGCGGUGAAAUGCGUAGAUAUUAGGAGGAACACCAGUGGCGAAGGCGGAUUGCUGGACGAUAACUGACGGUGAGGCGCGAAAGUGUGGGGAGCAAACAGGAUUAGAUACCCUGGUAGUCCACACUGUAAACGAUGAAUACUAGGUGUGCGGGGACUGACCCC
rnacentral:rRNA from 1 species